GUGAGGAAUAUUGCGCAAUGGAGGCAACUCUGACGCAGCCAUGCCGCGUGCAGGAAGAAGGCGCUACGCGUUGUAAACUGCUUUUAACCGGGAAGAAACCCCAGGACGUGUCCUGGGUUGACGGUACCGGAGGAAUAAGCACCGGCUAACUUCGUGCCAGCAGCCGCGGUAAUACGAAGGGUGCAAGCGUUAUCCGGAUUCAUUGGGUUUAAAGGGUGCGUAGGCGGAGCGUUAAGUUAGUGGUGAAAUCCUGCAGCUUAACUGUAGACUUGCCAUUGAUACUGGCGCUCUUGAGUGCGCUUGAAGUGGGCGGAAUGUGCCGUGUAGCGGUGAAAUGCUUAGAUAUGGCACAGAACACCAAUUGCGAAGGCAGCUCACUAAGGCGAUACUGACGCUGAGGCACGAAAGCGUGGGGAUCGAACAGGAUUAGAAACCCCUGUAGUCC
rnacentral:rRNA from 1 species